UUGAAUUUCGGGACUAAUAUGUCGGUCGUGCCUCGGUACGAACUGGUUUAUUGGUUUCUCCUUUCUGAAGAACCAUGAUGUCAUUUAUUGGUGUCGUGGGGGAAUCAGGACUGUUACUUGUAAAAAAUUAGAGUGUUUAAAGCAGGCUCACGCUUGAAUACAUUAGCAUGGAAUAAUGAAAUAGGACGUUUGAUUCUAUUUUGUUGGUUUCUAGGAUCGACGUAAUGAUUAAUAGGGAUAGUUGGGGGCAUUAGUAUUCAAUUGUCAGAGGUGAAAUUCUUGGAUUUAUUGAAGACUAACUACUGAGAAAGCAUUUGCCAAGGAUGUUUUCAUUAAUCAAGAACGAAAGUUAGGGGAUCGAAGACGAUCAGAUACCGUCGUAGUCUUAACCAUAAACUAUGCCGACUAGGGAUCGGAUGAUGUUAAUUUUUAAUGACUC
rnacentral:rRNA from 1 species